rnacentral:rRNA from 1 species
AGUGCAUGAAGCUGGAAUCGCUAGUAAUCGCAGGUCAGCAUACUGCGGUGAAUACGUUCCCGGGUCUUGUACACACCGCCCGUCACACCAUGGGAGCCGGAAAUGCCCGAAGCCAGUGACCCAACCUUAGGGGAGGGAGCUGUCGAAGGUGGAGCCGGUAAUGGGGUGAAGUCGUAACAAGGUACC